GACGAACGCUGGCGGCGUGCUUAACACAUGCAAGUCGAACGGAAAGACCCUGAUUUUGUGGCGUGCUCGAGUGGCGAACGGGUGAGUAACACGUGAGUAACCUGCCCUUAACUUUGGGAUAACUUCAGGAAAAUGGGGCUAAUACCGGAUAGGAUCUCCUGAUGCAUAGUGGUGGUUGGAAAGUUUCGGCGGUUGUGGCUGGACUCGCGGCUUAUCCGCUUCUUGGUGGGGUUGUGGCUUACCAAGGUUGUGACGGGUAGCCCGCCUGAGAGGGUGACCGGGCACAUGGGGACUGAGAGACGGCGCAGACUCCUACGGGAGGCAGCAGUGGGGAAUAUUGCACAAUGGGCGGAAGCCUGAUACAGAAACGCCGCGUGCGUGAUGACGGCCUUUUGGUUGUAAACCGCUGUCGCCUGUGACGAAGCGUGAGUGACGGUAAUGGGUAAAGAAGCACCGGCUAACUACGUG
rnacentral:rRNA from 1 species